rnacentral:lncRNA from 10 species
AUAAAUCACCCUAUUUCACCUGUUUGGUCUCUCCAGUCCUCUGAUUCCUGCAGUAUUUUUCUGGGGGCUCCUGUGGGAUUGGAGAUGACAGGUUUACUGUCUCCUUUGCCUGUGGGACUUGAACCCCAGGCAAGGGGAGACCCAUGACCCCUGGUGCCAUCAGAAGAACUUCAACGCAGAGAGGAGAUUGGCUGUCCUGCAACUCAGUGCCCUUCCCUGAUAGUGCAACGAAAUCUAAGGGGCUGUAGGACGAUUCUUGGGACAGUGUGCUUCAGGACCAUGGAAAGAUGAUGAAAGAAGGGCUAGCCUGAAAGAAACUUCUGCCUUCUUUGGAAAUGAGAUGCAAAAAGUAUGGCUCCCUGCUACAACAAAAAUGGAUCCCCCAAGGAGGACAUAACUGGAAUUGCUGUCAUUGUUACCCCUUUGAAAAUCUCAGCCAGCUAGAGGACCAGAGACAUUCUCAUCAAGAUUAAAGCCAGAGCAACCACCACCAACAAAUGAUGACAAAUCCCUGCCAGGAUUGGAGUGGGUUUGAAUGGCAUAGCUGGCCCCUGGUACUCCUG